rnacentral:lncRNA from 1 species
CGGAAUCCCACACCAACGCGAGCACUCAGUACAUCUCAGUCGAUUCCUCAUCACGAUUCGGUGAAAUCUUGGAAGAGCAAGAAAUUGGAGCCACGGGAGCACGAAUCGAAGCGCCUCCACAUCAGAAUCAGUAAGACUUUUCUCUACUUCGCGUUUAAUCCGAUUUUUUGAUAUCGUGGCAACCCGGCGUCGGGGAUUGGUUUGUGGAAUACGUAGUCACGGCGGUGGAGGAGAGUAGAAGCGGAGAGCAUCACGGAGGUUCGAGUCUCCGUCGCCGGUGACGAGACUCAGCGCGGCCGGAUUCGCCGUCGCUACCAGAUCUUCAUCUUAGUGAAGAUGUUGAAUGCAUGCACUCCGUCGCCGGUGACGAGACUCAGCGCGGCCGGAUUCGCCGUCGCUACCAGAUCUUCAUCUUAGUGAAGAUGUUGAAUGCAUGCGAUAGGAUUAGGGUAUCU